UUUUGAUAUUCAUAAUAAUUCCAAAUGCUGUGCCUCGAUCGUGCACAUCAGAAAAGCUGAAAAGAUGUUGAUGUGGGCAUUUGCUAUUCAGUCUUCCAAAGACCUAGACCAAAACCAAAACCAAGUAACAGAUAGGGUACAGAUAUGGAGGCCACAGGCUUGCUUUCAACAUCUCUUGGAUGGACAGUGGGUUCACAGGUGUUGUGACUGUGUCUUCUAAUUUACAUAUACGUUGCAGAGAUUUCUUUGAAGCUUCCCGGUGUUUAAUAAUUAAAAUUUCACUCCCUCACUGUAAAUUAUUCCGAAGAAGGCUUAAUGAGCCAAGCAUAGUAACAUUUAUUAGCUUAACAACACCAUUCAUAUUUCCACUGAACUUCCUGGAUGUAAAAGAAAAUUUAUGCAGGAAUUGGUCGAUUGCCUUUGGGAAAAGUAUUAAUAAUGUCUUCCUGUUGGUGUUUAUGGGCUCAAGGACAUAAAGAAUGUGAGGCAACCAAGGACUUACCACAUAAUGAUCCCUUUUCUCCUUUUUCUUUCUUUCUUUCUUUCUUUCUUUCUUUCUUUCUUUCUUUCUUUCUUUCUUUCUUUUUUUCAUCAGGGUCUCAUGACAAGAGAUGUUCUGUUUUAGUGGGAGAUCACUGAUUCUGUAACUACUAAGCAGUGAGGAGACUUUCUUUGAGAGUUUGCUGUGGCCCCGGGGAACUUAAAUGCCCCCAAACUAAGACCCUCUUGCCUCGCACACGACGUGUUGCCCCUCUGUCAGAUUUUUGACUUCGAUCAGCUCGCGCCUUUUCCCAACGUGGUUCAUGAGGUGGCAGGUGGAAUAUUCAAAAAGAGCCUGGCUUCUGGAAUCAGACAGCUUUGCAUUUGAGUCCUGAUGGCAUGACCUUAGGAAAGGCACUUAAGCUUUCCCCAGUUUCCUCAACUGUGACAUCGUGAGGACCUCCUAUGCCCUGAAGGACCGAACUAAGCCAAACACACAAAGGCACCUGGCCACGGGACUUGAUCUUUUCCCGAACUUUCUCCUUGGCAUUUGGACGUUGGCUGCCUGGCAUCCUUUCGGGCUUGGCUAACCACUUUGGCCCCAGAGUUUCCUAUCGCCUCAGGUGAGAAUACUUCCCUCUUCACCCUGGUUUCCUGCCAAUGGGCUCCCAACACCUGCCCAAGUCUGAAU